CUAUGCGGAAUGAUCAAUGAAUAUUUUAUGUAAACAAACCGGAAUGGAAACUCGCCGUUCACAUUCCGGUUUUCGCGAUUUUGGCUUAUCGCGACGGUUUCUCGCGGCGAAAAUACGUUGCGCGUGCGUGUUUAUCCCCAUAGAAGAGGGGAAAAGUGUUUUGUGCAAAGAAUAAACGCCCAAACAAGGCAAAAAUUUGUAAAAAGUCCCCGCUGAAGAGGGGUGAAAACCAGGGGGGAUCUAUCUGUCAAACAUCGUGUAACCAACAUAUUCGGCAACAUGGCGUUUGUUUUGGUUUUUGUUCUUUUUAGUCAUGAAAUUGAUCGAUGUGAAAUAUUAUAGAAUUGGAACGAUUUUUAUCAAAACGCGAGAAACCGCGGAAAACUUUCAUGAAUGUGUUGUGUAGUGAUAUUUUUCCCCUUUUUCCCCCAUUAUUGUUCAUAGUUACAAACAUCAUGGACCAACAAACGUCAUGGACCAGAGUUGAUCUGCGAUAACGCACACAUAUAUGGAAUUUGACAGCAGUGAAUUCCCUCUGGUGAAAACCAAAUCAAUGGCACCGAACAAGGCGAAGUGAUGGGUUUUCGGUUGUUUGCCUUCUGUUUCCAAGUGCCAGUGCGUGGGUUUUUUUUCCAAAGGCGCGGAAUUCUAUUCCGGCAAAAAUUAAAAUUUACACCAUCACGACUGCUUUUGGAACAAAAAGCAAAACUUCAGCGGAAUAAUUUAUUACUUCGCCACCAGUGCAAAGCACGCAAGAUUUUAACAAAGCAUCCCCAUGAAACACGCGCAAGUGUUCCACCGGAGACGACCGUUCUUCGGCCAACAAUCCCCGUAAACGACGCUGCCGCUGAACCCCAGAUGGAUCCGAAUCAGCCGAGACGACAACAUUCCGCGAGCUCAACUCAAAAUCUAGUUCGUCGAAAUGCAAAUGGUCAACCCGCAUCAACCAAUAAGCUCUGUUGAGCUCUUCAACCAUCAUUGCCAUUUUCUCAAUGUUCUUGGAAAAGAACUCAAAAGCACACAGCAUGAAGUAUUGACACGGAAUUUGAGCUGAAUUAAAAAAAUGUUUCGAAUCGGAUUAAAAUUUUAGGGUUGGCAACCACCUUGACUGGGAAAGACUCAAGCUUUCUACAACUCGGCAGUUCAACCAAAACCAACGCAAACCCACCGAUUCGGAAAA